CCCGGUAACUAGCCUACAUAUCUAUUCUCGCAACUCAGACAAACAUUUCUCGGUUGUGUCGACAUCUCGUUUAUUGUACUGAAAGUAGCCAGUCGUUUCACCCGCAAUUUAAAUUUCCAAUAUGAUAAAGGAAAUGACUCUUACCUUUUCUUCCGAGAGUGAACUGAUAUUCUUGACUCCACUGACUCUCACUAUGUGACCAGCAGAACCAGGAAGCGACACAGACUGCCCUAGUGUACACUAUUUCACACGGUGCCGCGCGGUGAAACACCACUUCUCAUUCAUUUUCAAUUGAAGAGACGCGGAGACCAACGCGGACCCUUGGACGGCGCGGAGGAGGCGAAAAAAAACGUAAACGUUUCCCAACGUUAUGCAAAUCACCAGCUGCGACCGCUGAGCGAUGACCAAUCAUAUCGAGUUGUUUCCAUGACGAAUUUGACGCAAUGCGACCCAACAUUGGAGACUUUCUACAACAAAGAUGGCGGACAAAAAUACUAGGACAGAUGCAAAUGGACUCCUAAGAAACAACCAGCAAACCAGACUGUCGUCUUGUGAAACAUUGGAUGUAAAGAAUCUAGCUUGCCUUGCUGAUAUUUGCCGUGCAAUGCAGCUGAAGUAACGUAGCAAACUAUUUUCUUGCUUAUUGUGCAGCGGAGGAUAGAACUACCUGUAUGCCUUCGGAUGUGUAUCUAGCUAUCUAGCCGAUCUGUGUAUGGACCCUAAAACGUUUGGUAUACAUAUUAGUUCAGAACCUAGCUAUGAACCUCAGCUAUCAUAGCCAGUUGUAUCAACUUCAAAACAAUCUGAAUGACAUUAAUGAAGCCUAUGGACUGAGUAGAAUAUAAUAUAACGUUUUGCCAAGGAUGUAAGUCGUAUAUACAUGUAGUUAUUACCAUGCACGAGGUCCCCACAUUGUUGCCUGUACAUUGGAAUAUAUUCACUGUUGAUGUACUCUACCUUGGCAAAUAAAGGUGCAGUUCAGGUA